CCUCCUGGCCUCCCCCUUCCGGCCUCCCCUUCCCGACCUCUCCCUCCUGGCCUCCCCCUCCUGGCCUGCUUGUUCCCGCUGCACAGCCGAGCCCCUGGCUUCCCUCCAUCUAUGUGGGGGUUUCCUGCUGUGGCUCCGGGGGUGGGGAGGGGGCCCUGAGACCAUGUCUCCUGGAGGCAGGACCCUCCCGAGGCACGUUGUCCCGAUGGUUCAUGGAGAAACGAGAGCCUCCAGAGGCGGCCAGAGUGUGGGGACGCGCCCCAGCAGAUGGAAAUACGGUGAUUUGGGCAAGUUCCGAACGAACGGUUAAAAGAACUGAUGCAUCAGAGUCCAACGUGUCGAGACUCACGGGCGUCCAGCUGCCACAGGAGGUGCCCACCGUCUCCCGGCUGGUUCAGAAGUUCCCGUAAACAAAAGCAUCGUGGCACCAACUAGAUUUCUCUCCCUUGUAAUUUCUGUUCUACGUCCAGAAACGGGCCGAACUCAGUCGCCAGAGCACCAACCUGCGCCAGGACAAGACUCGGUCAUUCUUGUUCAGAGACGUAUUCUCGGUUCCUAAACCAGUGCCUGAUACCCAACAGCCCCUCAAUAAAUGCCACCGAGUCUGCCCCAGGGGACUCCGUCUUCC